rnacentral:rRNA from 1 species
UACGAAGGGUGCAAGCGUUACUCGGAAUUACUGGGCGUAAAGCGCGCGUAGGUGGUUUGUUAAGUUGGAUGUGAAAUCCCCGGGCUCAACCUGGGAACUGCAUUCAAAACUGACAAGCUAGAGUAUGGUAGAGGGUGGUGGAAUUUCCUGUGUAGCGGUGAAAUGCGUAGAUAUAGGAAGGAACACCAGUGGCGAAGGCGACCACCUGGACUGAUACUGACACUGAGGUGCGAAAGCGUGGGGAGCAAACAGG